GCCCAGGGUAGACUGCAGUGGUGCGAUCUCGGCUCUCUGCAACUUCUGCCUCCCAGGUUCAAGUGAUUCUCCUGCCUCAGCCUCCUGUGUAGGGAUUAUAGGUGCCUGCCACCAUGCCCAGCUAAUUUUUGUAUUUUUAGUAGAGACGAGGUUUCACCAUAUUGGCUAGGCUGGUCUUGAACUCCUGACAUCAGGUGAUCCACCUGCCUUGGCCUCCCAAAGUGCUGGGAUUAAAGGUGUGAGCCACCGCGCCCAGCCUGUGUUCAAAUUUAAAAGUAACUUUCUAACUUUAAAAAAUUAAGUCAAAGUCUAUCUUUCUUUUGAAAAACAGGCUGGUGUGGCUACACUAGACCUGUAUUCCUCCGUGUUUCCAGUCACCUGGAUCUGAGAAGUGGCUGGCCUCUUGCUUUUUUUUUUUUUUUAAAGGACAGGAUCUUGCUCUGUCACUCAGGUUGGACUGCAGUGGCAUGAUCAUAGCUCACUGUAGCUUCAAACUCCUGGGCUUAAGCCACCCUCCCACCUCAGCCUCUUGAGUAGCUAGGACUAUAGGCAUGCACACCACGCCUGGCUAAUGUUUUAAUUAAAUUUUUGUUUUUUUUGUAGAGACAGGGUCUCACUAUGUUGCCCUGGCUGGUCAAGAACUUCUGGUCUCAAGCCAUUCUCCUGCCUUAGCCUCCCAGAGUGCUGAAGUUACAGGCAUGAGCCACCCAGCCUAGCUGAUCCCUUUAAACAGGACAUUCGCUCAGGUUUGCCACAAUCACCAGUGCUCCCUAUAGCACCCCCAACAGUGAGCCCACGUCUGUUGCUGUUUUUCACUAGCCCUGGGCUGUUUGUCUGGCUCCUUGGGCAUUUGAGUUUUCAACCCCGUGUGGUGGAGUGUGGCUAAGGUUGGUCACCCUGGAGUCCAAUGACCUGAGUCUAGACUCUAGUUCUACUGACAGCCAGCCAGGGCACUGUGGGCCGGCCACUAGGUCUUCAAGUGUGCAGUGCCUACAAUGCUUUCAACCCUAGAGAGUUAUGGGGAGCAUUAGCAAGAUAAUAAUUCAUGUGAAGAAGCAGGGUUAGUCUAUUGCCUGUCACAUGGUAAUAGUAAUAUUGCUAUAUGUUAGAAAGAUAACAACAUUAUAUACACAAUAACAAUAUAACAUAUCAUAUAAUAAUUAUAAUACAGCAACAACAGCCAGCAUGGGUAGUGUAUUUCCUAUGCAGGCACUGUUCUAAGUGUUGGCACAUGGCAAUGCAUUGAAUCCUUAUAACAUACCCUUGAUGCAGAGCCUAUUAUUGGCAUCAUCUCCCCAUUUUACAGAUGAUGAAACUGAGGCCCAGAGAAGUUGAGAUGCCUGACCGUCAUCCACUAGAAAGUGGCAGAGCUGGGAUUGGAAUGCAGGCUGUCUGGCACUCAGCUGUGUGCCUUCAAUACGCCACCAGGCCAACCUUUGCUGCAGAUCUAAAGCUUGAUGCUAUCCCCAGGGAGAAGCCAAGCCCAGUCUUCUUGCAGCUUUAGUGAGUCUUGGAUGUUGGUCUUUCUGGACCAUCUUGAAUGAGCUGGGACUGGGUGGAGUGCGGGGGCUGGUAAAGCAGCAGAAGCUUGGGGAUGCUUGGAGAAGCCUGCUGAGACCCUGAGUAGCUGUGAUCUUCUGCAGAAGCCCCACCUCUGGUUCCCACUGGCCCCCAUGCCGGGCCAUCUGGCCUCUGUUCCAGCCAGGCCCCCGAGCCCCUGACAGCAUCCUCAGUGAUAACACAAUUAGGUGAUUUCUCUUGCCUAUGGGAAUUUCCAGCAGGAUGCACUGAGCAUGAUCCUUGGAUUUCCAACCUGCUGUUGCAACUUCCUAUCAGAGCUCCUCUUGCCAGGAACAAAGCGACAGCCGUCUGCUGGUGAGCUGGGCUAAUCCUGUUAAACAAUUCACAGAUCUGACGCCGGACACGCUUUUUGAAACCUGAGGGAAAGGAGAUACAGUCAUGGAGGGAAGAUGGCCAUGUGAAGAAGGCAGAGAUUGGAGUGUUGUUGCCACAAGCUGAGGAAUGUCUGGAGCUGCAGGAGCCCGGAGGAAGCCGGGAAGCAUCCUUCCCUAGUGCCUGCAGAGGGAGCCUGGCCAGCCGACACAUUGAUUUCUGACUUCUGGCCUCCAGAGCUGCGAGCUACUCAGUUUCUGUUGUUUUCAGCCACCCAGUUGUGGUGACUUGCUGCGGUAGCCCCCAGAGACCAGGACGCCAGCCCAGGGAUGAGGGUGCUGGUCCUGGGGGUGUCAAUGCACUGGCACAUCCCGCUUGACCCUGGAGUGGCCAGAGAAAGCCCUGGGCAGAGGUGUGGGCAGAGGUGGCAGGUGUGGGCAGAGGUGGCAGGUGCUGGCAGAGGUGGCAGGUGUUGCGGGAAGUCAGGGACCCCGAACGGAGGGAUGGGCUGAAGCCGUGGCAGAAGAACAUAAAUUGUGAAGAUUUCAUGGACAUUUAUUAGUUCCCCAAAUUAAUACUUUUAUAAUUUCUUACGCCUGUCUUUACUGCAAUCUCUGAAUAUAAAUUGUGAAGAUUUCAUGGACACUUAUCACUUCCCCAGUCAAUACUCUUGUGAUUUCCUAUGCCUGUCUUUGCUUUAACCUCUUAAUUCCGUCAUUUUCAUAAGCUGAGGACGUAUGUCACCUUAGGACCCUGUGAUGAUUGCAUUAACUGCACAAAUUGUUUAAACAAUUUGAAAUCUGGGCAUCUUGAAAAAAGAACAGGGUAAGAGCGAUGUUCAGGGAACAAGGGAGGUAACCUUAAAGUCUGGCUGCCUGUGGGCUGGGUGGGACAGAGCCAUAUUUCUCUUAUUACUGAAAACGGGUAAGAGAAAUAUCGCUGAAUUCUUUCCCCAGUGAGGAAUAUUAAUAAUUAACAGCCCUGGGAAAAGAAUGCAUUCCCAGGGUGGGGCCUCUGAAAUGGCCGCUCUGGGGGUGUCUGCCUUAUGCAGAUGUAGAUAGGGAUGAAACAUGCCCUAGUCUCCGGCAGCGCCCCCAGGCUUGCUAGGAUUAGGAAAUUCCAGCCUGGCAAAUUCUAGUCAGACCUGUUUUCUGCUCUUGAACCCUGACAAUGCGUGCACAGCGGGACAUGGAAGUUCAUUAGUGGAUUCUAGUUUCGCCCUGACCUUCUGCCUUGUGAUCUUUUGUCGCCCUUGAAGCAUGUGAUCCCUGUGACCCACACCGUAUCCGUGCACUCCCUCCCCUUUUGAAAAUCACUAAUAAAAACUUGCUGGUUUUGCGGCUUGUGGGGCAUCACGGAACCUGCCGACAUGUGAUGUCUCCCCCGGAUGCCCAGCUUUAAAAUUUCUCUCUUUUGUACUCUGUCCCUUUAUUUCUCAGACUGGCCGACACUUAGGGAAAAUAGAAAAGGAACUAUGUGAAAUAUCGGGGGUGAAUUUCCCCCGAUAGGCAGGUGCUGGCAGGGGGCAGGUACGGGCAGAGAUAGCAAGUUUGGGCAGAGGUGGCAGGUGCGGGAAGAGGCGGCAGGUGCGGGAAGAAGCGGCAGGUAUGGGCAGAGGGGGCAGGUGUUGGCAGGGGGGCACAAGUGGGUAGAGGGGCCAGGUGUGGGCAGAUGAGAACCUUUGGGUGGUUGCCCAGAAGCAGUCAGCACUGAGGCGAGGCAGGAGCAUGGUUAGAAAUGUGAGCCCCUCAGGCAAGACUGAGAAUGAUAACAGAGCUGACUUCUGGGGAGGAGCGAGCGCAUGCUGGAUCCUUCGCCAAACAUAUAAAUUGCGGCUGCUCGGGCGAGGAAAUGCCUCAAGCUGGAAUGCAGGAAGCGUCUGCUUCAGCCCAGGUCAUCUGCAAAAAACCCGUAGCUAACCUCACAUCUAAUGGUGAAAGACAAUGCUGUCCCUGUGAGAUCAGGAAGAAGGCAAGGAUGUCCACUCACCGCUUACUCAACUGAGCACUGGAAAUUCUAGCCAGGGCUAUAAGGUAAGAAAAGUAAUUAAAAGACAUAAUUAAAAGAUAUACAGACAUAAUUAAAAGUAAUUAAAAGACAUAGAGAUUGCAAAGGAAGAAAUGAAGCUAUCACUGCAAAUGAUAUCAUCUCUGUAGACUAUUGCAAGGAAUCUACAAAAAAUAUCCUAGAACUAGUAAAUGGGUUCAUCAAGUUUGCAGGAUACAAAAGAAACAUCAAAAAACCAAUUGUACUUCAAUAUACUAGCAAUGAAUACAUGGACACCAAAAUUAAAAACACUAUGCUAUUUACAACUGCUUAAAAAUGAAAUAUUUUGUUAUAAGUGUAACAAAAUGUGUAUAGGAUUGUAUGUUUAUUUAUUUAUUUUAUUUAUUUUUUUGAGGCAGGGUCUCUCUCUGUCACCUAGGCUGGAGUGCAGUGCUCUGAUCAUGGCUCACUGCAACUUUGACCACUUGGGCUCAAGGGAUCCUCAUACCUCAUCUUCCCUAGUAGCUGGGACUACAGCUCCGUUACACUAUACCUGGCUAAUUUUUAAUUUUUUUAUAGAGGCAGGGUCUUGCUAUGUUGCCUAGGCUAGUCUUGAACUUUUGGCCCCAAGUGAUCCUUCUGCCUCAGCCUCCCAAAGUGCUGGGAUUACAGGCAUGAGCCACCAAGCCCUGCCAGGAUCGCAUGUUUACUAGUACAUAAUUCUGAUCAAAGAAAUAAAAGAAGAUCUAAAUACAUGGAGAAAUAUAUUUUGUUCAUUUACUGGAAGGCUCAACAUAGUAAAGAUGUCAUUUUCCCCUAAAUUGAUGCACUAGUUUAACCCAAUUCCUAUCAAAAUCUCAGCAAGAUUUUUUUUUUGUAAAUAUGAACAAGACUAUUCUAAAAUUUAUUUGGAAAGACAAGAGGACUUGAAUAGCUAAAACAAAUUUGAAAAAGAAGAAUAAAGUGGAAGGAGUCAAUCUAUAUGAUUUCAAGACUUAUUAUAUCGCUGUCAUGAUCAACAUUGUGUUGCAGUGGUGAAGGAAAGACAUACAGAUCGAUAACCCAGACACAGACUUGCACAAAUAUGCCCAACGGAUUUGGCAAAUGUACAAAAGCAAUUCAAUGGGUAAAAGAUAGCCUUUCAGCAAAUGGUGCCAGAGCAAUUAGCCAUUCAUAAGGCAAACAAGUUGAACCUUGAACAAAAUCUCACACCUUAUGCAAAAAUUAGCUAAAAAUGGAUCAUGAACCUAGAUGUAAACUAUGAAACUUAGGAAAAAACCUAGGACAAAAGCUUUGAGAUAUAGGGCCAGGCAAAGAGCUCUUAGACUUUGUUUCAAGAAGCAUAAUCCAUAAAAGGAAAAAUGGACUAGUUGGGCUUCAUCAAAAUAAAAACUUUUUCUCAGCAAAAGACCCAGUUAAGAAGCUGAAAAUAUAAAUUACAGAGUGGGAAAGAAUAUUUGCAAACCACGUAUUUGACAAAGGAGUAGUAUCUAGAAUAUAUAAAGAAUGCUCAAAAUUCAAUAGUAAAAAAGCAAGUCAUUCAACUAGAACAUGGCAUGAAUGAGUGAAAAGGCAUGAACAGACAUUUCCCCAAGGAAGAUAUACAGAUGGCAAAUAAACACAUGAAAAGAUGUUCAAUUUGGCUAUCCAUCAGGGGAAUGCAAAUUAAAAUCAUAAUAAGAUAUUCUUAAAUAUCUGUCAGGAUGGCUAAAAUAGGGAAAAAUUGACUAUAACAAAAGCUGGUGAGAAGGUGUCCAAACAGAAUUCCUCAUACACUGCUGGAGGGAAUAUAAAAUAUUAUAGCCAUUGUAGAAAAUAUGUUAGUAGUUUCUUAAAAAAAAAAAACUUUCAAUUACCAUAGGACCUGGCAAUUGCACUCCUGAGCAUUUAUCCCAGAGAAAUGAAUACUUGUGUUCACACAGAAACCUGCAUACGAAAGUUUAUAGCAGCUUUAUUUGUAAUAGAAACUGAAAACACCUAGACAUCCUUGAACAGUCUAUGGUUUAGCAAACUGUAGCACACCCAAACCAUGGAAUACUACUCAGCAAUAAAACUAUUGAUGUGCGUGGCAACCCGCAUGAAUUUCCAGAGAAUAUCAUGGAAUGAAGAAAGCCAGCCCCGAAAGAAACAAAGCAAGGAUGCUCACUCUCACCCCUUUUAUUCAGCUUAGUGCUGGAAAUUCUAGCCAGGGCUAUAAGGUAAGAAAAGGAAUGAAAAGACAUACAGAUUGGAAAGAAAUAAAUGUAGCUAUUCCUGUUUCCAAAUGAUAUCAUCUAUGUAGAAUAUUCCAAGGAAUCUAAAAAAAGUCUCCUAGAACUAGUAAAUGAGUUCAGCAAGGUUGAAGGACACAAAAGAAACAUCUGUACAAAACAUCUGUACAAAAGAAACAUGCUGUAUGAUUCCAUUUAUGUAAUUGUAUUAGUCUGUUUUCACACUGUUGUAAAGAAAUACUGGAGACUGGGUAAUUUGUAAAGGAAAGAGGUUUAAUUGACUUGCAGUUCCAUCUGGCUGGGGAAGCCUCAGGAAACUUACAAUCAUGAUGGAAAGUGAACGGGAAGCAAGCACCUUCUUCACAAGUCGGCAGGAGAGAGAAGAGAGCAUGUGAAGGAGGAACUGUCAAACACUUACAAAACCAUCAGAUCUCAUGAGCACUCACUCAGUAUCACUAGAGCAGCAUGGGGGAAACCACCUCCAUGAUCCAAUUACCUCCUACCAGGUCCCUCCCUCGACACGUGGGGAUUAUCAGGAUUACAAUUUGAGAUGAGAUUUGGGUGGGGACACAGAGCCAAACCGUAUCAGUAACAAAAUUCUAGAAAUGGAGAACAAAUCAGUGACUGCCAGGUGUUAAAGAGGGGUGGGCAGGGGCGAGAAGUGGGUGUGGCUAUGAAAGGGUUGCGGGAGGGACUCUGUGGAGGCAGAAUGUUCUGUAUCCUGGCUGUACCCAUGUCAAUAUCCUGUUUGUUAUAUCGCACUACAGUUCUGCAAGAUGCUACCACUGGGGGAAACUGAG
rnacentral:lncRNA from 10 species